AGUUUGAUCCUGGCUCAGGACGAACGCUGGCGGCGUGCCUAAUACAUGCAAGUAGAACGCUGAAGACUUUAGCUUGCUAAAGUUGGAAGAGUUGCGAACGGGUGAGUAACGCGUAGGUAACCUGCCUACUAGCGGGGGAUAACUAUUGGAAACGAUAGCUAAUACCGCAUAACAGCAUUUAACCCAUGUUAGAUGCUUGAAAGGAGCAAUUGCUUCACUAGUAGAUGGACCUGCGUUGUAUUAGCUAGUUGGUGAGGUAACGGCUCACCAAGGCGACGAUACAUAGCCGACCUGAGAGGGUGAUCGGCCACACUGGGACUGAGACACGGCCCAGACUCCUACGGGAGGCAGCAGUAGGGAAUCUUCGGCAAUGGGGGCAACCCUGACCGAGCAACGCCGCGUGAGUGAAGAAGGUUUUCGGAUCGUAAAGCUCUGUUGUAAGAGAAGAACGUGUGUGAGAGUGGAAAGUUCACACAGUGACGGUAACUUACCAGAAAGGGACGGCUAACUACGUGCCAGCAGCCGCGGUAAUACGUAGGUCCCGAGCGUUGUCCGGAUUUAUUGGGCGUAAAGCGAGCGCAGGCGGUUUAAUAAGUCUGAAGUUAAAGGCAGUGGCUUAACCAUUGUUCGCUUUGGAAACUGUUAGACUUGAGUGCAGAAGGGGAGAGUGGAAUUCCAUGUGUAGCGGUGAAAUGCGUAGAUAUAUGGAGGAACACCGGUGGCGAAAGCGGCUCUCUGGUCUGUAACUGACGCUGAGGCUCGAAAGCGUGGGGAGCAAACAGGAUUAGAUACCCUGGUAGUCCACGCCGUAAACGAUGAGUGCUAGGUGUUAGGCCCUUUCCGGGGCUUAGUGCCGCAGCUAACGCAUUAAGCACUCCGCCUGGGGAGUACGACCGCAAGGUUGAAACUCAAAGGAAUUGA
rnacentral:rRNA from 1 species